GAUCCUGGCUCAGGAUGAACGCUAACUACAGGCUUAACACAUGCACGUCGAGGGGCAGCGGGAUUGAAGCUUGCUUCAAUUGCCGGCGACCGGCGCACGGGUGAGUAACGCGUAUCCAACCUUCCGCUUACUCGGGGAUAGCCUUUCGAAAGAAAGAUUAAUACCCGAUGGUAUCUUAAGCACGCAUGAGAUUAAGAUUAAAGAUUUAUCGGUAAGCGAUGGGGGAUGCGUUCCAUUAGGCAGUUGGG
rnacentral:rRNA from 1 species